UACGUAGGGGGCAAGCGUUGUCCGGAAUUAUUGGGCGUAAAGAGCGCGUAGGCGGUCCGAUAAGUCGGCUGUGAAAGUCAGGGGCUCAACCCUUGGAAGCCGGCCGAUACUGUCGGACUAGAGUCCGGAAGAGGCGAGUGGAAUUCCCGGUGUAGCGGUGAAAUGCGCAGAUAUCGGGAGGAACACCGAAGGCGAAGGCAGUCUCCUGGCAAGUUACUGACGCUCAGGUGCGAAAGCUAGGGGAGCGAACAGG
rnacentral:rRNA from 1 species